ACGGCUCAGUAACACGUGGACAACCUACCCUUGGGACGGGGAUAAACCCGGGAAACUGGGUAUAAUACCCGAUAGUUCUGGGAAGCUGGAAUGCUUCCAGGACGAAAGCUCCGGCGCCCAAGGAUGGGUCUGCGGCCUAUCAGGUAGUAGUGGGUGUAAUGUACCUACUAGCCUACGACGGGUACGGGUUGUGAGAGCAAGAGCCCGGAGAUGGAUUCUGAGACACGAAUCCAGGCCCUACGGGGUGCAGCAGGCGCGAAAACUUUACAAUGCUGGCAACAGCGAUAAGGGGACCUCGAGUGCCAGGAUACAAUCUUGGCUGUCGUAAUGCCUAAAAAGCAUUUCAUAGCAAGGGCCGGGCAAGACCGGUGCCAGCCGCCGCGGUAACACCGGCGGCUCGAGUGGUAACCGCUAUUAUUGGGUCUAAAGGGUCUGUAGCCGGCCGGAUAAGUCUUUUGGGAAAUCCAGCUGCUCAACAGUUGGGCUUUCAGAAGAUACUGUUCGGCUCGAGACCGGGAGAGGUGAGAGGUACUUCAGGGGUGGGGGUGAAAUCUUGUAAUCCUUGAAGGACCACCAGUGGCGAAGGCGUCUCACCAGAACGGAUCUGACGGCAAGGGACGAAAGCUAGGGGCACGAACCGGAUUAGGUACCCGGGUAGUCCUAGCCGUAAACGAUACUCGCUAGGUGUCAGCCACGGUGCGACCGUGGUUGGUGCCGUAGGGAAGCCGUGAAGCGAGCCACCUGGGAAGUACGGCCGCAGGGCUGAAACUUAAAGGAAUUGGCGGGGGAG
rnacentral:rRNA from 1 species